GCACUGCUGAGGAGUCCUAUAAUAGGACGAAACGGCCGUCCAGUUC
rnacentral:hammerhead_ribozyme from 1 species